AGCUUGCGAAAAUCUAUCACUUGCCCGAUAACAAAUGUUGGAAAUGUAAAGAAACUGAAGGUACAUUUUUUCACCUCUGGUGGACAUGCCCAAAGAUUAAGGCUUUCUGGGAAAAGAUAUAUAAUGAAUUAAAAAGGUAUUUAAGUAUACCUUUCCUAAGAAAACCAGAGGCCUUUCUCCUGGGCAUAGUCGGCCAAAUGGUGUUAAAAAGGAUAGAACUUUCUUUAUGUAUGCAACAACAGCAGCAAGAAUACUCAUCGCAAAGCAUUGGAAGACACAAGAACUUCCCACGCUGGAGGAAUGGCAGAUGAAACUUAUGGACUAUAUGGAAUUGGCGGAAAUGACUGGUAGAAUCCGUGACCAGGGAGAAGAGUCGAUGGAGGAAGACUGGAAGAAAUUUAAAGACUAUCUUCAGAAACACUGCAAAAUUAAGGAAUGUUAGAGUGAUGUUGGAUUGAAAAUAAGUGGUUUCCAGCUGCACAGGUUAAAGUUAAGGAUAGAUUAAGAUUAAAGAUUAAGAUUAAAGAAGUUUAAAGAAAUGGAAAUUUGAUUUUAAAAGGGAAAACUUUAAAGUUACAGGAUAUUAAGAUCAAGGAUUAGGUUUAAAAAGUUGAAGUUAUAUAUUUUAACAUUUUAUUAAAUUCAAGAUUGGGAUUAAAAAGUGGAAAAGAAACUGCUGGAUAAAUAAUGUGGAUUGGAAUACAAAGAGGGAGGUAUGAGGAAGUCCAGAAAAUAAGUAAUUUAAAAUCGGAAAUGGAAAAGAGAGUUUGUUUUUAAUUGUUAUGUUUUGUGUUUUUAUUGUUAAGUUUUGUAUUGUUUUUAUGUGUGUUGUCUUUCUUUUUCUUUGUUUAAAACCUCAAUAAAAAAUUAUUAAAAAAAAACAAACAAACAUCUGGUCAGUGUGUCUGGGGCCAAGUCAGGAUAGCCAUCCAUCAACAGAUAGAGUUGGGUGUCAUCAGCAUACUGAUGGCAACCCAGCCCAAAACUCCGGAAAAGCUGGGCGAGGGGGCGCAUAAAGAUGUUGAAAAGCAUCGGGGAGAGUAUCGCACCCUGAGGUACUCCACACACCAAGGAGUGGCACGAUGACAAUUCCCCCCUAAGUGCCACCCUCUGUCCCCGACCAGAGAGAAACGAGCGCAGCCAUUGAAAGACUGUGCCCUGGAUCCCCACGCCGGCAAGGCCAUGUCGAAAGCUGCUGACAGAUCUAGAAGAAUCAGCAGCCCUGACCCACCUCGAUCCAGCUGUCUACGAAGAUCAUCUGUUAGGGCAACCAGAGCCGUCUCGGUCCCAUGACCAGCAUGGAAGCCGGACUGGAAUGGAUCCAGAGCCGAUGUUUCAUCCAGAAACCCACAAGCUGUUCAGCAACCGUCUCUCAAUCACCUUACCCAGGAACGGAAGAUUCGAAACCGGGCGGUAAUUGGAUAGAUCUAAAGAUGUUUUCUUUAAGAGCGGGCGCACCACUGCCUCCUUCAGUUCCCUGGGAAUGUCCCCGUGCCAAGGGACAAAUUGAUGAUAUCCCCCAGGGGCCCGCACCUCGCCUGGACACUCUCUAAUCAGCCAAGACGGGCACGGGUCGAGAGGACAGGUGGUGGGCUUUCCAGCUCGGAGGAGUCUGUCCACAUCGGCUGGGGAUAUCCGGUUGAAGUGGUCCAAUACUGGACCCGAGGACAGUCAAGGGGCCUCCAGUUCCUUUAUUGUAUCCAAAUUGGCAGGGAGGUCAUGGCGGAGCAACAAGACCUUCUCCGCAAAAAAGCUCGCAAAUGCCUCACAGCUGUGUGUCAAAUUGUUAUUUAAAUUUGGCUGUCCCUCAAGGGACAUUUAAGACCUAAUUAUACUAAAUAAUUGCGCCGGGCGAGAGCUAUCGGAUGCAAUGGAGGCCGAGAAGUAAGACUUCUUAGCAGCCUUCACCGCCAUCUCGUAGGUUUUCAUAAAGCCCUAUAAGAUGUUCUUGAGGCUCCGUCACGGGCACCCCGCCAUACUCGCUCUAGCCGUCUGAGGUCCCGCUUCAUUUUCCGGAGCUCCUCGGUAAACCAGGGAGCCCGGUUUCUGCGGGGUCGCAGAGGGCACUUAGGUGCGAUCUCAUCGUUGGCUGCCAGGAGCUGGAUAUUCCAGCCCUCAACAAGCUCAGUCAAUGAGUCGCCGGGGGAGCAAGGUCCCGCAAGGCUUGACGGAAUCUAUCAGGGUCCAUCAGCCUCUGCGGGCGAGCCCAAAUCGGCUCGCCACCUAAGCAGGGUGGGGGUGGAAAGUCAAUCCUGGCUUUCAGAGCGUAGUGAUCAGACCAUGGCACCUUCAUCGAAGGAGACAUGAUCACAUCUAUACCGACGCCAAAGAUCAAAUCCAGCGUGUGGCCUGCUUGAUGUGCGGGGCCCGAAACAAACUGGGAGAGCCCUAGUGUCGCCAUGGAAGACACCAGGUCCAGAGCCUGUGAGGGGGGAGUGGCAUCAGCAUGGAUGUUGAAGUCCCCCAAUACCAAUAGGUUAGGGAACUCCAAGGCCCAGCCGGCCACCGCCUCCAAUAGGCCUGACAGGGUGGCUGCUGGUGCGCUAGGUGGCCGGUACACCAGCCAGACAGCCAAGCUCUCCUUGGAGCCCCACACUAGGCCAACACAUUCAAUGCCGGGGAUCGAUGGCGAUGGUAGAGCCCUGAAAGGACAAUCUUCCCGGAUUAAUAAUGCUACCCUCCCCGGCCCACAGUCCGCGACUGGUGGAGGACAGAGAAACCCGGGGGCGCCAUCUCUCGUAAGGUAACUGUUGCCCCUUCGCGCACCCAGGUCUCCGUCACACAAGCCAUGUCAACCCCUUGCGAGAUAAAGAAAUCUCGCAGGGUGGCGGUUUUGUUGCCUAUAGACCUGGCAUUGCACAGCACCAGUGACAGAGGUGAGUAAUCCUUGCUCACCCUACCCUCGUCCCUCGGGAUGAGGCACAGAUUGGAAGGGGUACGAGCAUAUCCAUAUCUCGAUCCCCUUCGCCUAUAACAUCUGCCCCCACCACCAUACCUCCCUCGCCCCUCCACGGUAGCAAUCCCAAACCUCAUAGUAGCCUCCAUUGAUGGCAAUUGAUGUUAUUCUUUCGCAGCCUAAAACAAUAAAACCUUAAAACAAUAAAAACAAAAAACAAAAACAACCCGGAAAACAAUAAAACAAUACAAAUAAAAACUGCAAAAAUUACAAAUUCAUCAAAAUCUAACAAAUUCCCAAGCCCACCCAAACAUCCAUCCCACCCCCAUAUAUAAAAAAUCUAAAGGGAAAGGGAGAUUUUAAAAUAUGUUAAACUCUGCACCCCUCCGGGUCCUCCUGGGCAGUAGCAGCAUCAGUGGCAACAACCAUCCUUGUGAGGCCCCACCCUGGGCCAGAUAGUAGGUGGCAGGAGCAGUCCUUGUGAGGCCUGUCAGGCCCCGCCCUGGGCCAGGUGGUAAGUGGCAAGAGCAGGGCCCUCAGGCACUCACACAGGGGAGUCCUCCUGGGCAGCAGAGCAACAACACCUGUUUAUUCAGCCCACGCAUGUUAGCAAUGAAAAGAAAAGAAAAUCUUGCAGGUUAUCAGCCUCUUCUUGCGGUUAUCAGCCUCUAGGAAGGCGACAUCUUUUUAUAUGGUCUAUAGAGAUCUUGCUCUUCCUGCCUGUGUGCCUUCAUUCCUACUCUUUGCUCUCUAUUUAUAAGGAAAGAUGGAGCAGGAAUUUCUAUCCCUUUUGAUCUUGCGGAGUUUUGAUGAAGCCUCCAAAGGAACAUCGGAAGUUGCCAUCUGCUGAGCCCAACAAAGGGCUCCCUCUAACCCUGUAUAGUCCACACUGACUGGCAGCAGCUCCCCCCAGUUUCAGGCAGGGGUCUCAUCCAGCCCUUGCAGGAGAUGCCAGGGGCUGACCCUGGGACAUUCUGCAUGCCAAGCAGAUGCUCUUGGUUCCCCAUAUUUCACUAGCCUUUCAACGUUAUUCUGUUAGCAACCGUGGAGAUUCCGCCUGCCUCUUUCCAAAGGAGAAAACUCACCUAUUUAAAGAAUUUGAGGUGAUGCAUCAUUUGUAUACUUUUUAUGAGUUCUAUGUUUUCAACGUCCCUGAGAUCUCUUGGUGAAGGGCGGUAUAUCAAUUCAAUUAUUUAUUUAUUUAUUUAUUUAUUUAUUCAUACCCCACCCAUCUGGCUGGGUUUCCCCAGCCACUGUGGGCGGCUUCCAACAAAAUAUUAAAAUACAAUAGUCCAUCAAAUAUUAAAAGCUUCCCUAAACAUAACAACCAUCCAUUUUUAGUCCACUGAAUUAGAAAUUCAGCAUUUUUGGAAGGGGAAAUGGCAUACUAUUUUAUAUUAGCAUCAAAAGCAUGCAUAAGAAAGUAUUACUCAUUUAUGAUGACAAUACGAUUGAUUUAUUUUGAACUUCGCUUGGUUCCUCCUUGGUAGCCAGUGCUUAUUUCAGCAGGGCUAGAAAUCAGGACCUCCAGCUGUGAACUGUGGGAUUUCCUGCGCAGAUAACUCUGUGACACCAGCCUUCUGAAUGUCACCUGUAGGAUUCAUCUGUAGCUGCAGUUUUCAUGGAAUCCUAGAGUUGAAAGGGACCCCAAGGGUCAUCAAGUCCCACCCCCUGCAUUGCAGGAGUCUCAGCUAGAUCACCCAAGACAGAUGGACAUCCAAAGUAGGCUUCUUGUAUUUCUAUAUUCAUCACUGAGUGCUGAAAUAGGCUUCUAAGCAGCGGACAGACGAGAACAAAUAGUGGCCAAGAUUCACCUAGCCAGCCCCAUCUGCUGCGAAAUAUAGCCUGCCCCCCAUUCCUCCCCCUCUCCAUGCCCCCAUGAACCCCUUGAAUUUGGCUGUAGGGCACUGGGAGGGAACCUUCCCAGAACAACUCACGAGGAGAGGAGAAAGUGGAUCCUUCCAUCUGGGAAACUGGAAUCCCUGCGUAGGCAGGAUGACUUGAAAACCGCAAGGAAGAGAACCACCUAUUUGCACAAAGAUGAAUACCCAUAAUUAAAAGCAGAAUAAAAUAAUUCAAUUAAAACGUCAAAAGAGGCAUCCAGAAUAAAAAUGUGCAGCAAAGCAAUCCCACUGAAAUAACGCAGCAAUUAAGAGGAAGGAAGGAGACAGAGCAUUGUGUAGCAGAUCAUAUUUCUGCUGUCUCAGAGGAGGACAUUUCCCUUUUUCUUUCAGGGUCCAGUGUGCUUUGAAGAUGUUGCUGUUCGUUUCACGGACGAGGAGUGGGCGUUGCUGGAUCCUGACCAGAAAUUUUAAAAUACCUCUAUGUAACAAACCUCAUACAUUUCCACAGAGCUCAACAGCACCCCGACAACACCUGGGAACCUAACACCCCCACAAGAAAGAGUAAAUUACAGUUUUUUCUGAGAACCAUCUUCCUCCAGUUCUGCCUUUUUAUACCAUGAUUGGGCUGGACUGAACUGCCCAGGCAUCUUAAAUGUCUACUUACAAUAGAGGCCAAAAUUGUGGUAACCUUUUGGGAAAAGGGGGUAUUCAUCACAUUUGCAGAUGACACCAAAUGGGGAGCGGAGGCCAAUGUGGCAGAAGGCAGAAUCAGAUCAAGGGCAAGAAUAAAUACCUUUAGGACCCCUGAUCAUUAGGGUCCAGUUGUGGCCGACUCUGGGGUUGCGGCGCUCAUCUCGCUUUAUUGGCCAAGGGAGCCGGCGUACAGCUUCCAGGUCAUGUGGCCAGCAUGACUAAGCCGCUUCUGGUGAACCAGAGCAGCGCAUGGAAACGCUGUUUACCUUCCCGCUGGAGCGGUACCUAUUUAUUUACUUGCACUUUGACGUGCUUUCGAACUGCUAUGUUGGCAGGAGCAGGUUGCCUUGGUCAAACCCCACCUUGAAUCCUGUGUUCAAUUCUGGGCAUCACAAUUUAAGUAUCCAAAAGGUGGGGGAACACAAUCCAUAUUCCUUUUAUGACAAGUGACCAAAGUUUAUUGAAUACAUAAAUUGUUAAGACUGUUGCAGGAAUCCACCCAGCACUCGUGGGAAAACGUGGCGUGAUCUUUUAGAAUAAUCAAAUGAAACUUUAACACAUGGCAGGAUGAAAGUCUGCAAUUCCACGAGGACAAUCUAUUUGUUGUUUACCAUUGUUGUAACCAUUGCUUUCUUUAAAAUUAUCUUUUGUACCAUGAAAAUAAAUAAAAGCAAUAUUUUUUAUAAAAAAAAGAGGUGGGGAAAUCAUGUGUAUUAUUCCAUUAAUCUGCUUGCAAGUUUUGUGUGUUAUUUUGAGUCUGUAACUCCCAGUUAUUUCACAUUAUCUAUAUGUUUCUGUGUGUUCAGCACACAUGAUUGCAGGUGAGACUGAAUAAAACACUUCCUAGGAAAUUCCCUUUGACUGCUUCUGUAUUGUUUCAAAUGUGACUUCACUUACACAUAAGAUCAUAUUUAUUGCUGAAAAAUCAUGUCAUCAUUGGCUCCUUAAUCUCUACCCCAACAAACCCUGCAGUUACAAGAGUAACUUCUUGCCCGCAAUUUCUUAGGUGGAAAUAACUGAUACUGGAAAGGAAGAAACGAGGUACAGCUUUUCCCUCAAACUUUUGGAGGAGGUUAAAGUGGGAAAUCCCAAGGGAGAUUUUGCUUAUCCGAGCUUCAGUUCAGCAGGUGAGCCUGGAUUUUCACAGGGCACAGCUACAGAACAAUGAUAGAAAGUUCUCCAGCCUUGGCAGGUGGGCGGAAUUUCUUGUCAUUUGUUUUUAUUGAUUUUUCCAGAUUAUUACAAGUCAUUGCCAAAUUAAUUCAAUUCAGUACAAUUUUCCAAAACAUGUUUCCCAUGUCUCCUUGUAAGAUAUUGUAGUAAUCAUUCACUUCUUUCAAAGCCAGUAUCCAGCUGUUGCAAGAGGACAGAGCUCACUCAAUGUGCUAGUUAAUCUCAACCCCAACAAACCCAGCGCUUUACAUGAGCAGCUGCUUUCUUCCCAUUUCUUAGGUGUAAAUAACUGAUAACGAAAAGGAAGAAGGGAGAUAGAGCCUUUCCCUCAACCUUUGGAGGUCUGGGGGGCUUCAUUUCACCCCUUAGUCCUGCUCCUGAAAGCUUGGCAGAUCUGGAGUAUUUGCUCACACUCUGGCAUGACUUAAAAAUCAACCUUUUAAAGAAAUGGUAUUGCAGUGCUGAAAAGGCUCAAGAAAGCAAUUCCUGUAGUAGCUGGCAUCUUAGCGAGCCCAGUGCCACUCUGCCAACUGUCUCACUCCCAGCUACCUAAUCUGGAAAGCUGUCCUGUAAUCUCUGCAAGGACUUCAGUGUCCCCUGAAUUAGCAAUUCAGCAUUUCUGGAAGGGGAAAUGAUAUACUUUUGUAUAUUAGCAUUAAAAGCAUGCAUAAGAAAGUACCUUCACUGGUGGGAGCAGCUGAGCACUCGGGCUGCAGCCUCCAGGUCAAGUCAGCAAGCAGGGCAGAAAUGAGGGGGGGCAGGCUCUCUGGGUCCUGGCAUGGCUGUAGCUCUUCAACUCCCCUCCUCACCCAUAAGCAACCCCCCAGAAUUGGGGCUGCCGGCUUCUGAGUCGCUCUCUCCACUCAUCCCUUCUAGGAUCAGGUGCUUAAGGCGCCUGUUCAGACGCUGCAAAAGGGUGGCCCCCCCAGCAAGUCCCCGAGCAGCCCGUGCAGUGGCGUAGCAUGGGGGGUGCAGGGGGGCCCGGCCGCACCGGGCGCAACAUCUGGGGGGGCGCUCGCACUCGCAGUGCUAAAAUCAGUGCUAAAAUCCACGGGUUAGGGGGCGCAAAUUACUUGCCUUGCCCCGGGUGCUGACAACCCACGCUACGCCACUGAGCCCGUGGCACCAGGUGAGCAAGUGGCCCUCCUUUUUGGGACAGAGGAGGGCAGGAAUCGGCAUGGGGGGCAGCUAGUGAAAAGAUGCAAAGAGCCAGAUAGCUGGAUCUGACCCAAGGUCCAUCUGGGCCAGCGGCUGGAAACCCAAUCCACCCAGUGGCCAACCCUGUUUGUGGAGUCUGGUGGAGGAAGCAGGGGGCUGGGCUGGGGGGCAAGGCUGGGGGCAGUUAUCUGCCGGAGGGGCACCUUCCCUGGGGAGCCACGUUCUGGGGGAAGGAGGCCAGGAUUGGUCCCCAAGGCUUGGGAUGUCCCUCCCCUGCAGUAGGACUUGGAAUCCAGGAGAAAACUCUUGGAAUAGCCUUGCCAGGUGCUCAGGGACGGACUCACCUGUCCCCAUGUCCUUCUCUUUGAAGAUGUGCUGCGGUUGCACAUCCCUCGCCCAGAGGUGAGUAUUGGAGAGAACCAGAGCAGGGACUCAGACCUGCCCUCCUUGCCCCCCACUCUGCACUCUCGGAUGUGGAGAAGCCGUCCCUUCGUGAGGAACUGAUAGCCUGACUUUUGCCUUUCAGCUGCUGGAGGAAGAUCAGCUGUACCUGCCGGAGGUGAUUCAGAACUGCCAGGCAGCUCAGCUCAGGGGCUCUGAACCCUGAAGUGUGUUGGGGGACAUUUGGCACAGAAACAUGUGUGUAUACCUUUAAGAAGUUUCUGGGAUUAAUUGGCUGCAGCUGGCCGUUGCUAUAAAGGAAAAAAAGCUGAGUUUUGCAGCCUGCCUGCAGGAAUAACACCCACCAGAGUUUGUUUAUUGUUUUGUAAUAAAGUCUUCGUUUUAGUUUGGGUUUUUACACCUAUGUCUCCUGGAGUCACUCUGUCCUCUGCCACCGGCUGGAAAUCCCCCUCCAACAAAGUGCUCCAAGCAGGAGGUGGCCAAAGCCAUCCUGGUGAGUGGUUGGGGGUUUGGGGGACCCCCAUGGGGAAGUGGGGGUUUGGGGAAGGGGAUGUCCGUCUGCCAGAGAAGAGGACCCUACUGGCUUAGAUUCACGUAUCCUGUUUGAAAGGGGAAUCAUCUUAGGGACUUAUUGUGAAAAUCUGGGUCAGGAAUGCUGUUCCUGGAAAGGACAAACACACAAGACGUAACUGGCUGUGCAGUCACAUAAACAAUACUCUUCUAUAUAUUCUUAUCACAAUAUCAAAUGUUUAUCUUGCACAUAAACAACACAUAAAGUGCAAUAAUAUAGACGAGAGCCAGGGACUCUGUGGUGGGGGCAGCUGAGGGCCGUUUUGGCCCAGACUGGCCCCUGACCCAGAGACGCUCUUUCCACCCACAGGACCUCAGAUGUUACACCCUUUGGGAAAGUGGGGAGGAACAGAAACCAGCAGCCAACAGCAUCCCUUCUCUGCUGGCCUUUGCCCAAAGUUUCCCCCAUCUCAGAGCAAGUAGCUCUCCCUCAUGGAUUCAGUCCUUUCAACACUUCCAUCUCCCCAAGAGACUCCCAAGGCUACUCAUCCUCUGCAGUUGAUAACAGACCUAACUGGAAAAAAAUGGCUUCCUCUUCUGGUGACACCAGAGAAUUCUAGAAGACAUUCACCCUUUCCAUAGCAUUAUGGAUGCACGAUUCCCACAGACAAGUUUCUUGGCAAGACAAGGGCCUUCUCUGGCCAUAGAGUGUCCUCCUCAGCAUCUCCAAAGAAGGAGCUGGGUUGCAAGAACUGCAGCAAAGGGAUGGGGCAACCCAGGCUAAUGGGGGGGGGGGGCUGUCUAGCUAGGAAAGCAAGACCCAGAGACAGUUGUGGGAGACCCAGAGACCGGCUUCCUCUGUGCCGGAGCCAAAGCUGCGACAGAUGGAGAAGCCAGACCUGCUGGGGGUGUCCGUGCUGUGAGCCCCUCCAUCCUACACUCUGGUUGUAUAUGUGAGUAAAUGAAACUACAUAUCAUAAAGAUGCCACAGUCUCCGCUGACCUUCCUUCCAAGGAAAUUGGAUCUUUGGUCAGCGCCUGGGAGCCCUGGAAUCUCAGGGACAGGGGUAGUUUACAAAUACAAAACACAAACACACACAAUCAUUUGUGCCUGUGUUCCUAACACACAACCAAGUGUGAAGGGUGCAUUGCAUGCUUUAGCAACAGCCCUCCUGUCAAUGAGGAAAUGCAACUUCCAUUGACUCAAAGAAGCAACAAGGGAAUCUUCUUGGGUGUCCCAGGAGGUCUGAGGGCCCUUAAAGGAAGAGGAGCCAUUUCUGCGCCCUGAGACCCCAAAAGGUCAGCAGACUCCCCUGCGAAUCCUGCGGAGCUGAGCUCCUCCUCCCGUCUUCUCCAGGGCCUGUUCCCAUUUUCUGCAUGGGGGGUCUGCCUGCUUUGCCCUGCACCAGCCACAGGCACCAAGCUUCUCUCUUUGCCUGCCCACCCCCCAUAUCUGCCCCAUAUCUGGGGUGGCAUGGCUAAUGGUAUUUGUUGUCCAGAGGGGACCACAUUUCAGAAAGCCAAAGCAUUGCAAUAAAUCAGUCUGAAAAGAUAGGUUUUUUUCCUUCCCAUUUAUUGCUUCAUUAAAAACAUUACUAUAACGUGCAUAAAAAAUAAUUACACAAAUAUAGAGGGAAACCUAAAAUAUUCUUUCCCAUUUUUUUUCUGCAUUCUUUAUUGCAUUCUUAAAUCUCUCUGUAUAGUGAUGUGUCUUCCCAAAAUUAAGAUGAAAAAGGCAUGAAGAUGACAUUGGCCCACUUUGCAUACAGCCUUGUAUACCUGCUUUAUGAACAACAACUGCAGUUUAACACAAACAUUCUUUGGAACUUCCUUCCUGGAGAAAUGAGCUUGGCUCUCUCCUUGGGGUCUUUGCCGGCAGGUCAAGACUUCCUUGUCCCAAGAGGCUUUGGGGAAGUGACGGCUUCGCAUGAAAGCGCUGGUGACAUGCUGCUUCUAUGGGAAUGUUCUAAAUUAUUUCAAUAUACUAUUAAUUCCAUUAAUAUGUAAUUGUUUCUUAAAUUAUUGCUCUUUUUCUAUGUGUUUAGCUGUUUCUAUCUUAAGUGUAAGCUGCCUUGAGUCCCUGUCAGGGAGAAAGGCAGGAUAUCAAGAACAACAAGAAUUCUUGUGCACAUGGUCAAAAUGUUAUUGUUCCUCCUCCUCUUCUCCUCCCAACUGUGCUGCAGUGAAUCAGGCCAGAGUCCAGCUUGCCAGGAUCAUAGAAUGACAGAAUUAUGAAUCAGGCCAUCGGUCCAUCUACCUCAGGGCGCCCCACACUGACUGGCAGCAACAGCUCUCUGGGGUUUCUCUCCCAGCCUUAGCUGGGGCUGCCAGUGGGGACUGAAGGCAGGACCUUCCUCUGAGCUCUGUCCCUUCGCCACAUUGGAUCUCUUAGGAUCAAAACAAAACACUCAGAUUCCGUAUCUGAAUUCCCACUCAACAGAUUGUAGGAAUGCAAAAUAGAAUCGUAGAGUGGGGAGGGACCCUGGGGGUCAUCUAGUCCAACCCCCUGCAAGGCAGGAUAAUCAGGAGACGUUGGACAAAGGCGCCCUUUUGGAGAACAAGAACUGCAGGAUCCUCCUGCGCAGCUCCCGGGUCCGGAUGCCGUAAAUUACGGGGUUGAGCACCGGGGGCAAAAUGACGUAGAGGUUGGCAAUGAGGAUAUGUGCAUAAUGGGGAUGUUGCGUCCGAGCGGUGGGUGAGGAAGGAGAAGAAGGCAGGAGUGUAGAAGACACAAAUCACAGCCACGUGGGAACCACAAGUGCCCAGGGAUUUGAGCCGGGCCUCUUUGGAGGGAGCCGGAAAACAGACCGCAAGAUCAGCACAUAGGACAGAAUAAUGAGGACCAAAUCUAGCAUGAGGAAGGCAAUGGCGAAGAGGCCGUAGAUGACAUUGACCCGGAUGUCGGCGCAGGCCAGCUUGGCGAUGCCCAUGUGCUCGCAGUAGGUGUGGGCAAUGAUGAUGUGGUCGCUGCAGAAGGGCAGGCGGAGAGUCAACAGGGCAAUGGGCACCACCAGCAUAGAGGGUCUCAGAACCACGCCAGCGCACAUCCAGGCGAGCCGUGGCUUGGUCAGGAUGGUGGUGUACCUCAAGGGGUCACAGAUGGCCACGUACCUGUCAAAGGCCAUGGCUAGCAGCACAACAGACUCCAUCCCCGUGAAGGUGUGGAUGAAGAACAUCUGGGCGAGGCAGGAGCCAAAGCCCAUCUCCCCGAGGCCAAACCAGAAGAUGGCCAGCAUUUUGGGCAGAGUGGAGGUGGAGAGGCCCAGGUCGAUGGUGGAGAGGAAAGAGAGGAGGAAGAACAUGGGCUGGUGGAGGCUGGCUUCCGUUUUGAUGAUGAAGAGGAUGGUGCAGUUGCCCAGGAGAGCGAUGACGUAGCCGAGGCAGAAGGGGAUGGAGAUCCAGGAGUGAAGAGCUUCCAGCCCUGGGACCCCCAGCAAGAUGCACGUGGGGAAUGAAAGUGGGUGGCAUUAGACAGUGGCAUUCUCCUCCUGCCUCUGGCCAGGUGUGGGUCACUUCAUCCCUGCCAAGAAAAAAGAAACAGGCUAGCAGGUAGAACCAUUUGGACACGAGUAGAGAUGCCUGAAGAUGGCCAUGGUGACCUAUGAUGGCAGCCAAUGGACCCGUCUCACAUUCAGGAGUCAAGAGGAGCAUGGAGGCAAAUGGGAAUAGGUGAGCGACUGUAGAAAGGGGGUAGGAGUCAAGAGGGACAAGGAGGAAGCUAGAGCCAACACUGCAGUUCUAACCCCCGUUGCAGGGGGUUGGACCCUUCCCCUCUGCAGGGAGGUGGGACCAAUUUGGAUGGUCUGCCCCCACCACUUAAUGGAUCCAAAUGGUUUCCAGAGAGUGGUAGGGGAUGCUUUAGCCCAUGUUGAUGGCCUUUCAGCUGAUUCCCUGGUGGCCCGCUGGAAUGCGGAGUUAACCAGGGCUAUCGACUGUCUGGCUCCAAGCGCCCUCUCCGAUUGCAUGGAGCCCAGACAGCCCCGUGGUUUUCUUCGGAGCUGAGGGCGAUGAAACAAUCGCUGAGACGGCUAGAGCGUCAGUGGCAGAAAACUCACUCGAAUCUGACCAGACACAGGUUAGAGCUCAACGUCAGAGCCUACCAAGUGGUGAUAGCGACAGCGAAGAAGACUUUCUACACCGCCUCUAUUGCAUCUGCAGAAAAUAGUAGCAGGAGACUCUUUCAGGUGGUUCGCAAUUUAACAGAACCACCUUUACCACCGGGGCCUUGUAAAGACCCCAAGAUCUCCUGCAACGAUUUUGCAAAGUUUUUUGCAGAUUAAAUCACUCAUAUUCGGAAGGAGCUAGACACCACUGUGGCAGCAGGGCCGGGGCGGGAGAGUGCUAGAGCUCUGUCUGGUCAAGUUGCAUGGAAUCAAUUUCAAUCCGUUACCCCCAAGGAUGUGGACAGGCUGCUUGGACGCGUGAAAGCAACCACCUGUCUCCUUGAUCCUUGCCCAUCCUGGCUAAUAAAAGCAAGCCGGGAAGGGCUGGGCGAUGGGCUCUGCGGGGUGGUGAAUGCUUCCCUCUGUGAGGGAACAUUCCCAGAUCCGCUGAAAGAGGCGGUCAUUAAACCGCUUCUUAAAAAACCAUCUUUAGACCCGGCCAGUAUGGCCAACUAUCGCCCAGUCUCAAAUCUUCCAUUCUUGGGCAAGGUGACUGAGCGCGUGGUUGCUGAACAACUCCAGACACGCCUGGAGGAUGCGGACCAUUUGGAUCCCUUCCAAUCAGGGAUUCAGGCCACAUCCUGGGACCGCAACUGCCUUGGUCAUGCUGGUUGAUGAUCUCCGGCGAGCUAGGGACAAAGGUGAGAGUUGUUUCCUGGUUCUGCUGGAUCUCUCAGCGGCCUUUGAUACAAUCGACCAUAACAUCCUUCUGGACCGUCUAGAGGGGCUGGGAGCUGGGGGCACUGUUAUACAGUGGUUUUGUUCCUUCCUCCUGGGCCGUGUUCAGAAAGUGGUGGGGGGGGGGGAUGAGUGUUCAGACCCCUGGGCCCUCUCUUGUGGGGUGCCUCAGGGUUCCGUCCUCUCCCCAAUGAUUUUUAACAUCUAUAUGAAGCCGCUGGGAGAGAUCAUCAGGGGAUUUGGACUGGGUGUCCAUCAAUAUGCAGAUGAUACCCAGCUCUACCUCUCUUUCAAAUCAGAACCAGUGAAGGCGGUGAAGGUCCUGUGUGAGUGCCUGGAGGCGGUUGGAGGAUGGAUGGCGGCUAAUGGAUUGAAGUUGAAUCCUGACAAGACAGAAGUAUUGUUUUUGGGGGACAGGGGGCGGGCUGGUGUGGAGGACUCCCUGGUCCUGAAUGGGGUAACUGUGCCCCUGAAGGACCAGGUGCACAGCCUGGGAGGCAUUUUGGACUCACAGCUGUCCAUGGAGGCACAGGUCAAUUCUGUAUCCAGGGCAGCUGUCUAUCAACUCCACCUGGUACGCAGGCUGAGACCCUUCCUGCCCGCGGAGUGUCUUGCCAGAGUGGUGCAUGCUCUAGUUAUCUCCCGCUUGGACUACUGCAAUGCGCUCUACGUGGGGCUACCUUUGAAGGUGACCCGGAAACUACAAUUAAUCCAGAAUACGGCAGCUAGACUGGUGACUGGGGGCGGCCGCCGAGACCACAUAAAAAUCGGUCUUGAAAGACCUACAUUGGCUCCCAGUACGUUUCCGAGCACAAUUCAAAGUGCUGGUGUUGACCUUUAAAGCCCUAAAUGGCCUCGGCCCAGUAUACCUGAAGGAGCGUCUCCACCCCCAUCGUUCUGCCCAGACGCUGAGGUCCAGCGCCGAGGGCCUUCUGGCGGUUCCCUCAUUGCGAGAAGCAAAGCUACAGGGAACCAGGCAGAGGGCCUUCUCGGUAGUGGCGCCCGCCCUGUGGAACGCCCUCCCAUCAGAUGUCAAAGCGAUAAAUAACUACCUGACAUUUAGAAGACAUCUUAAGGCAGCCCUGUUCAGGGAAGCUUUUAAUCUGUGAUAUUUUACUGUAUUUUUUGUUUCUAUGGAAGCCGCCCAGAGUGGCUGUGGAAACCCAGCCAGAUGGGCUGUGUACAAAUAAUAAAUUAUUAUUAUUAUUAUUAUUAUUAUUAUUAUUAUUAUUAUUACCCCUUGGGUCCCAUCCAACUCUACAGAUCUAUGAUUCUAUGAUUAUUGCAUACAUGAAAAGGGUUGCAGGUGCAGGAGUGUGAAAUGUCUGGGUCUCAGCUUUUGCACAUAACCUCCAGUUGCCUUGGCAACCAGUCUUCCGUGAGGGGCCGCUGGCAUCCCUUCCUACAUCUUUCUCCCUGGCUUGUCAAAACACCCUAGCAAAACACCCUGAGUCCUUCUAGGGUCAGAUAAGGCCGGCAUUCAGUGCAGGAGGAAGGCAUGAGAAGGCAGGCACACAGGAAUCAAAACGUUCAUUGGUACAUUCUCUCUCUCUCUAAAAAAAAGGUUAAAUGCGCAGCAUUGGAACAGUUAGAACAAAGUCUGUAUCAGGAAUCAGGCAUUUUUUUCCGUCACAAGCAACUGGCAUUCAGAUGCACCGCGGCCUCCCCAUGUGGAGGCAGAGAAGAGCCAUUCUGGCGAGAGCGAACCCUCUCACCUGCAGAGCCACAGGGAGGUCUGUCAGUCACCAGGAGACCAUCUGCUUCACAUGCAAGUCUGGUCCUCAGCAACUCCAGGCAGGGGGCUGGAGAGACUCCCUGCCUGAGACCCUGAAAAGCCACCGCAGCCACUGCGGUCCACCUCUAGGUUAAGGUGUUGUUCGGGUCAGUCUAAGGCAGCUUCUUCUGCUCCUGAGGUUCCUGGUGGAGUUUUGCAAGCAGCUGCAUCCUGCGCAGAGCAUCGCUCUGAGGCCACCUGGCUGAGCGGGAAGCAGCCUUUAUGGUGCCUCUGUGGAGAACGAGGGAGGGGGCAUCUCAAGGGGCUGUUCAGAGACAUUUUCCAUCCCAAACAGGUCCAUUGCGCCAAGGUAUGCCCAGCUGUGGGGCAUCUCUCCAAGGCCACCGGGUCGGGGGAUUAAUCAUUGAGUCCCUCCAGCACAGUGCUGCCCCCAGGGUUUGAUGACCACAGGGCUGGGGAAUCUGUGGCCCUCCGGGUAUCCAUGCAACCCAUCUCCCAUCAUCUUUGACCAUGAGCUGUGCUGUUUGGGACUGAGGGAAGUCAAAGUCCCAAUAUAUCUGGAGGACCACGGUGUCCCCAUCCUGGGCUGCAGCCUCUAACUCCAGCGAGUCCAAGUGGAAGAAGAGAGGAAGGCUAGCCUGGAUUUAAAUUGUUUGAAGUUUCAGGCUAGCCUUCCUCUCUUCUUCCACCUGGAAGAGGGAAGAGGUGUCCGCAAGGAUGCAACAGAAGAAGCUCCUCCACCCCUUUUGGGGUCUAUGCCUCUGGAGCAGCAGAAAAACAAGGUUGCUCCAUCUUUUAUGAAACAACCCUUCAGAUACUUGAAAAUAGCCAUCAUAGAAUUGUAGAGCUGGAAGGGACCCACAGAGGUCAUCCAGCCUGACCCCCCUGUGAUGCAGGAAUCUCAACUGAAACACCCAUGGCAAAUGGCCACCCAACCACUGCUUUAAAACCUCCAAGGAAGGAGAGUUCCACUGCUGAACAGCUCUUAAUCCAGCAAAAGCGGAUUAAUUUAGGGUUCACUAGAUUCCUCACCACCUCCAUCGGAAGCCUCUGGUGCCUGCCUCCCUGUUCCCCAAUGCUGCCCCUUGCCUUGGCAGGGAGACACACAGCCCUGGUCAGGCAUCCCUGAGCCCCUUUGGGAUUUCUCGUCAGAAAUUGUUCCAGGGGAGACAGGAAGCCAGAAGGACUGACUAAGGGAUGGCGUAAAAGUGCCUCCUCUGCAGAGGCUCGUAUCAGUUACAACUGCCCACACCUGGACAACUCUUCCACUCAAAGGCUGAGUGUGAGCCCAGGAAUACAGAUAUCUCCCCCAUCCAGGCACUUAGAGCACAGAUGUCAAGGAAAUAAACAACUACUAGACUUUUAGAAGACAUCUGAAGGCAGCCCUGUUCAGGGAAGUUCUUAAUGCUUGACUGUCUUGUAGUUUUAUAAAUUGUUGAGAAAGCCACCUAGAGUGGCUCAGGCAAACCUGUCUGAUGGGUGGGGUACAAAUAAAAAGAUGGUGAUGCUCCAUGUCUCUUUUAGUUGAGAUUCUUUAGUUGAGUUGCUUUAGCUGAGAUUCCUGCACUGCUGGGGGUUGGACUAGAUGGCCCUCAGGGUCCCUUCCAACUCCACAGUUCUGUGGUUCUAUGAUUCCUUCUCCAGGGCAAAGACCAAGUCAAGUGCUUCUGAAGUAGCCAGUAAUUUAAGAAUUCUGAAGUCCUCAGCUGAUGUUGAGCUUCAGCACCUUUUAUUAGAACCAUCCCAAAAGUCACCAGCCGUUUGAGGUCUCCAUGGCCUCCAACUUGAGAGGCUUUGAAAGAGGAUUAGACAAAUUCAGGGGGGAGGAGAGGGGUCUUGAGGGCCAAUAGUGCUAAGGAAGUAUCAAAACUUGGGGUUUCCCAACUUUUUUGGCCCUGCGGGUCCAAAAUUGGUCAGGUUCAAGCAAGAGACCACAGCCCAGUUAAAGAAGCCAAACAGCGGCUAUUAAGCCUGAUCAUUUAUUUUCCACUCCUAAGCAAGCAAAGAAUAACCCAGAGCAAAAGGCUAUAUCCAAUUCAAAUGUUCCCAUGAUUUCCCAUACAACAUUUCAAGAAGCUUAAUCGGAGAUGUCAGAAUCAUGUCAGAAAAGAGGUGUGGUGCCAGGUAGAAAGUCCCAGUCCCUUAGGGCUGCAAUUAUUCAUUCGUCUUUCCCCUUCCAAGGAAACAUUCCUUUAUUAUCGUGAAUCAGUUGGCACCACUUAUUCUUGCUGCACCUGGUGAACUCCCAGCCUGCAUUGCGUUUCCCCAAUAUGCAUUGUGAAGGUGAUGGGCUUCUGUCUGGCUCUUUGCCAUGUGGGCUCUUGCCCAAUCUGCCAGGCAGGAGGGGGAUUUGGGGAUUGUGGCUGACCCUGACCCACCCACAGGGCAACGCGGGUCUUCUCCCCUCUUCUCCUCUCCAACAUCAUUACUACCUUUGGAACUAUUUUUUUUAAAAAUGGCUAUUUUGGGUGAUCUUCAGUGUUUCAUAGGGUUCCCUUGCCUUAUUCUGAUAAGAGGGCCAUAAGCAUUGGUUCUUGAGCAUUGAACGGGUGCUCUCUCUCUCUCUCUCUUUCUCUUUCUCUCUCUCUCUCUCUCUGUGUGUGUGUGUGUGUGUUGCUUUGUUUUGAGUCCCUGCAAUGUUUCAGAUGCCUUUGUUGGGUGCCCCUGCUUUUGCCUUUAAAUAGCAUCAGUUGGCGGCAGCAGGGCUUCUAAAUGCCAGUCGCUAGAAAGGGCAGGAGCGGAGAGCAGCUCUUGUGCUCAGGUUCUGCUUGUUGUUUUCCCCCUUGGGGCAUCUGGUCGGCCACUGUGAGAGCAAGAGGCUGGGCUGGCCGGGCCAUUGGCUUGAUCCAUCAGGCUCUCCUUCUGUCCUUCUGUCUGUUCUUCCCCAGAAGCUGUAGCAGAACUCCAGGAUCCAGAUGAAAAAGGCGGACCAAGGAGGUCCACUCAGCCUCCCUGCUGAUGGAGAUGCAUGUGUGGUAGCUGCUGGUGUGAGAAUGUUGUGGAUAGUGGGAGAGGAUGUAUUGAUUCAAUAUUAUCCUUCCUCACUCAUGCUAGUGAGCUGGUAGGAGAGCACAUUCCCUAGUACACAGCAGGAAACUAGUUGACAGAUUCGUUAAGGUAAAGGUCAAGAUACCCCUGCCCGUACGGGCCAGUCUUGACAGACUCUAGGGUUGUGCGCUCAUCUCACUCUAUAGGCCGGGAACCAGCGCUGUCCGCAGACACUUCCGGGUCACGUGGCCAGCGUGACAAGCUGCAUCUGGCGAACCAGAGCCGUACACGGAAACGCCGUUUACCUUCCCGCUAGUAAGUGGUCCCUAUUUGCACCCGGGGGUGCUUUCGAUCUGCGAGGUUGGCAGGCGCUGGGACUGACGCACGGGCGCUCACCUGGCGCGGGGAUUCGAACUGCUGACCAUGCGAUCGGCAAGUCCUAGGCGCCGAGGUUUUACCCACAGCGCCACCCGCGUCCCGACAGAUUUGUUAGAACCAUAUAAAUUGAGCAAUCUAGUCUGGCUUGUCCAGAUUGGAUUGCUCCUGGUAAAUUCCCUUUGGUUCCCUCUUAAGAACAAUGAUGACACAACAGUCUUCUUUUAAAAGUAAUGAUAAGCAUGUUCCAGCAGCCUUAAGGCUUUUCAAUGCAAAAUCCGUUUCCCAACUCCUGUACGCUGCAAAUGUCUGGCAUAAUGAGGACCUGCCUGAGCUAGAAGGCUUUCAGGCAAAAUUUACGAUCUCUGCUGCACGUACCCAACUGUGUCCCCAACUCCAUACUUCUGUUAGAAGCUGGUGAAUGCACAAUCUCAACUAAAGCAUGGUGGGCUGCCCUAAAACAUUGGCUCAGGAUUUCAGUGUUUGAUCUAGGGAAGGGUUUGUACCAACACCUGACCAAUGAGGAGUUUGUCAGCAAAUGGCAGAAAACCAUGGCUAGAAAAGCCACCUCUAUUGGUCUGUCACACCCCAACUGUAUUACCUGGGUUAAGAAGGCGCCCUAAAGACGUUAAAGCAAAGAUUAUGGGAUAAUACAAACAGUGACUUGUGAUCUCCAUCACACACAGUCUGUAGUCCGCUGGCAGUAGGAGUACAAUAUGGGCAUGUCUUUAAGUUAACAUCUUACGGUCGGAAUUAAACAUUAUAAAUUGAGAGCAUUUGCAGAUGACUUAGUAUUGACGUUACAGGAGCCAGAAUCUAGUACAAAAAGGGUUUUAGAACUGAUUCAAGAAUUUGGUCAAGUGGCAGGAUUUAAAUUGAACAAGUCAAAAACCAAGGUUCUAGAGAAAAAUUUAACACCGAUUGAAAGAGAGAGGUUUCAGAAUGAGACAGGUUUAACAGUGGUUAAGAAAGUUAAAUACCUGGGGAUUAACAUGACAGCAAAAAAUGGGAACUUAUUUAAAGAUAACUAUGAAAAAUGUUGGUCAGAAGUGAAAAAAGAUUUAGAAAUUUGGUCAAAUUUGAAGCUUUCACUGCUAGGCCGUAUUGCUGUGAUAAAAAUGAAUGUAUUGCCUAGAAUGUUGUUUUUGUUUCAAACUUUGCAGAUCGUGGACAAAAUGGAUUGUUUCAAGAGGUGGCAGAAAGAUAUCUCUAAAUUUGUCUGGCAGGGCAAGAAGCCUAGAAUAAAAUUUAAAAUACUAACAGAUGCAAAAGAAAGAGGUGGAUUUGCCCUGCCAGACCUUAAACUUUAUUAUGAAUCAGCAGCCUUUUGCUGGUUGAAAGAAUGGCUACUUCUUGAAAACACUGACAUUUUGGACUUGGAAGGUUUCCAUAAUGUAUUUGGAUGGCAUGCAUAUUUAUGGUAUGAUAAGGUCAAAGCACAUAAAGCAUUUAAAAACCACAUUGUCAGGAAAGCGCUAUUUAAUGUUUGGUUAAGAUAUAAGGAUUUGUUAGAAAAUAAAACCCCAAGGUGGCUGUCACCAAUGGAAGCGAAAGCCUUGAAAAAGGUCAAUAUGGAGGUCAAAUGGCCGAAAUAUUGGGAAAUUUUGGAACAAGAUGGAGAUAGACUGAAAUUGCAGAGUUUUGAAAAACUAAAAACAAAGUGCGAGACUGGCUUCAUUAUUAUCAGAUAAUGGAGGCAUUUAAAUUGGACAGGAAAAUUGGCUUCCAGGUGGAAAGAUCCAAAUUAGAAACAGAAUUGUUAGAACCCAAAACUAAGAAUUUGUCAAGAAUGUAUAACUUGCUGCUGAAAUGGAAUACUCAGGAUGAAACGGUAAAAUCGGCCAUGAUUAAAUGGGCACAGGACGUUGGACAUAACAUUAUGUUUGCUGACUGGGAACAGUUAUGGACCACAGGUAUGAAAUUUACGGCAUGUAAUGCCUUAAGAGAGAAUAUUAUGAAAAUGAUAUACAGAUGGUACAUAACCCCAGUCAAGCUUGCGAAAAUCUAUCACUUGCCCGAUAAUAAAUGUUGGAAAUGUAAAGAAACUGAAGGUACAUUUUUUCACCUUUGGUGGACGUGCCCAAAGAUUAAGGCUUUCUGGGAAAUGAUAUAUAAUGAAUUAAAAAUGGUAUUUAAGUAUACCUUCCCCAAGAAACCAGAGGCCUUUCUCCUGGGCAUAGUGGGCCAAACGGUGUUAAAAAAGGAUAGAACUUUCUUUAUGUAUGCAACAACAGCAGCAAGAAUACUUAUCGCAAAGUAUUGGAAGACAGAAGAACUUCCCACGCUGGAGGAAUGGCAGAUGAAACUUAUGGACUAUAUGGAAUUGGCGGAAAUGACUGGCAGAAUCCGUGACCAGGGAGAAGAGUCGAUGGAGGAAGACUGGAAGAAAUUCAAAGACUAUCUUCAGAAACACUGCAAAAUUAAGGAAUGUUAGAGUGAUGUUGGAUUGAAAAUAAGUGGUUUCCAGCUGUACAGG